UAGGGAAUCUUCCACAAUGGACGCAAGUCUGAUGGAGCAACGCCGCGUGAGUGAAGAAGGUUUUCGGAUCGUAAAGCUCUGUUGUUGGUGAAGAAGGAUAGAGGCAGUAACUGUUCAUACGUUGACGGUAUUUAACCAGAAAGUCACGGCUAACUACGUGCCAA
rnacentral:rRNA from 1 species